rnacentral:tRNA from 1 species
GGGGUGUUAACUUAAUUUUAAAGUGCCGGACUUUUAAUUCGGAGAUGUUGUUUCACACUUCA